AUAUACGUAGGUAUUCCUCUUUUGCACGGCCACUACUAAAAGGUUUAUAAACACAAUUGAGCUUCACUUUCCCCAAUAUAUAUAUAUUAAGGGAUUGUAAUUCAAAUUUUACCGCGCAGCGAAACUCCCUCUCUGUAUCUUCAGUCGUUUUUCAUGGUAAUCCAUGGCAAGCCUUUCUUCUAUUGCCAGAAGGCUCUGCAGAAUCCAUCCAUUGCCAUUCCAUCAUCUCCUUUAUCUCAACCGUUUACGUAUCCCCGAUUCCCCCUUUCAGGCAUUUCAUCAAACAUUUAGUCUGCAUUCUUUCUUCGCUCGUCAAUUCUCAGCUCUUCCAUCUUUUUCUCAAAAACUUGGCGACCCAUUUCUGUUUGACACAGGAAGAUUCCAAAACUAUCGCCAGAGUGACGCGUGUAAUGCCCGAUUCAUCGAAUUGUUCAAACGGGUCGCUCUUUUGCCAUCGGAAGUGGAGGCUGUUGCUGCAUUGGACGAGUUUGAUGUCAAGGCAGAUUUGGAUUUGGUUUACUCGGCAAUUUGGGUGUUGAGGGAUGAUUGGAAAUCGUCCCUUCUAGCAUUCAAAUGGGGUGAGAAAGUGGGAGCCAUUGAUGAAGAGAUUUGUAAUUUGAUGAUAUGGGUGUUGGGCAAUCAUAAGAAAUUCAGUACUGCUUGGUCUUUGAUCAGAGAAUUGCACGGAUCCUUGCUGAAUUCGAUGCAAGCGAUGCUUGUCAUGAUUGAUAGGUAUGCAUAUGCAAAUGAGGCAAGUAAGGCUAUUAAGACAUUCCACAUGAUGGAGAAGUUCAGAUUGACACCGGAUCAAGAGGCUUUUCACGUGCUUCUCAAUUCUCUCUGUAAAUAUGGGAAUAUCGAAGAAGCUGAAGAGUUUAUGUUUGUAAACAAGAAGCUUUUUCCUUUGGGAACAGAAAGCUUUAAUAUUAUUCUCAACGGUUGGUGCAAUGUAACUGUUGAUGUGUUUGAAGCAAAGAGAAUUUGGAGAGAAAUGUCUAAAUGUUGCAUUUUACCAGAUUCAACUUCUUAUACCCACAUGAUUUCCUGUUUUUCGAAGAAUGGGAACCUUUUCGACUCGCUUAGAUUCUAUGAUCAGAUGAAGAAAAGGGAUUGGAUUCCAAGCGUCGAAGUCUAUAAUUCUUUAGCUUACGUGUUGACCCGGGAGAAUUGCUUCAAUGAAGCUCUCAAAAUCCUUGAGAAAAUAAAAGAAGUGGGCUUGCGGCCAGACUCCACUACAUACAACUCACUUAUAAGUCCUCUGUGUGAGGCGGGAAAGCUGGACGAAGCAAAAGAUGUACUGACCAUGAUGACUGAGGACAAUAUCAGUCCGACGAUCGAAACCUACCAUUCUUUUAUUCAGGCUGCAGAUUCUAAAAUGAGCUUUGAACUUCUUAAGCGGAUGAGACAAGAUGGUUUGGGUCCUACAGAGGGUACCUUUCUUAUCAUGUUUAAUAAGUCAUUUGAAUUAGAAGAACCGGAGUAUGCAUUGAAUGUGUGGGUAGAAAUGAAGCGGUACGAGGUAUUUCCGAGUUGUGAACAUUACUCAGUCUUGAUACAAGGCCUUGCAACAUGUGGUCACUUAAAAAAGGCCAGGGAAUUAUAUGACGAAAUGAUAUUACAUGGAUUUAUCGCACAUCCAAAGAUUAAAACGCUUCUGAAGGAACCAGAUUUAGGUAGCAUUGACGAAGCAAGGCAGCAAGUGAGACACAACAACAAAGGUAAGUUCAUUCCUCAUAGGAAAGGGAGAACGAUGAGGUGGAAAUCACAUAAACAACGAUCUAAAGGGGCUGCAUCAUUUGAAUAGGAUGACUUAAUAAUCUUGCAGCCCAUAUAAAAGUUAGAUAGAUUUCUGAUUGAAUGAUGGGGGAGGAACAAGAACUCAUUGUGGAAGCAGGUGAAAAAGCAUUCCUUCCUUCGCUUUGGCACAAAGCUCGAAGAGAACACUCGCAUGGGCUAGAGAAAAGAUACGACAUCGUUUUCCUUUUUUUCUUUUUCCUCUUUUGAAGGUAUAAGCUGUUUGGCCUGGCAGUUGGAUGAUCGAGAAAGUUUAAUUCUCAGUUGUCCUUUUUGUAGCUUCAUUUGUUGGAAUUGGCCACACUAUAAAAGGUUAUAAAUUCUCACCAGAAGGGCAACCUUUUCAAGCAUGGACACAGUUUUAAGGAUUUUUCUUUUCAUUGGAAAGAUAAUUAAGAGAAUAUUUCUUGUUUGUAUAAAUUAAAGUUGGGAAGUUUUUGUUUGGAUCUUA